AGAGCGAACGCUGGCGGCAGGCCUAACACAUGCAAGUCGAGCGCCCGUAGCAAUACGGGAGCGGCAGACGGGAUAGUAACACGUGGGAACGCGCCCUUCGGUUCGGAAUAACUCAGGGAAACUUGAGCUAAUACCGGAUACGCCCUUACGGGGAAAGAUUUAUUGCCGAAGGAACGGCCCGCGUCCGAUUAGCUAGUUGGUGAGGUAAUGGCUCACCAAGGCGACGAUCGGUAGCUGGUCUGAGAGGAUGACCAGCAUCACUGGGACUGAGACACGGCCCAGACUCCUACGGGAGGCAGCAGUGGGGAAUAUUGGACAAUGGGCGCAAGCCUGAUCCAGCCAUGCCGCGUGGAUGAUGAAGGCCUUAGGGUUGUAAAGUCCUUUUAAACGGGGAAGAUAAUGACGGUACCCGUAGAAUAAGCCCCGGCUAACUUCGUGCCAGCAGCCGC
rnacentral:rRNA from 1 species